rnacentral:lncRNA from 1 species
AUGGCGGCCUUCCACUGGGAGGCGCGGCGCAGGCAGGCGGCGCUGGAGCGGCGGCGGACGGCGGCGCUGCGGGUGCGGACGGGGCCGGGGGGCUGGGGGGAGGCGGAGAGCGGCCCCGGGACCGCGCUCACCGCCCCCUCCCCGCCUCCAGGCCACGGCGAGCCUCGAGGGGGACCCCAAGCACGGCCCCGGGACCGGCGUGACCCAGAGCCCGCCGCCCGAGCCUCGGCCCUCCCGCUGCUGCUGCCCGUGUCACCAAGCCGCCAGCACCAGCGCCAGGCUGCCCAACCGCUUCACGGCUCUGCAGUACUUGCAGCAAUGGUAAGACACAACGAGCCUGCAGGCCAGAAGUUAACACCCAGGAUCUCCAUCAGAAGUGGACAAGCUUCGUGA